CAAUUACAUUUCCUUUAAUCUCCUUUCUUUGAGAUUUCUUUUCAAAACGUAUUCAUUCAAUGUCAUUGAAUACACCAAAACCUUUCACCGCCUUCUCUCUUCAAUUAUUACGAAUACCUAAAUUUUUCCAUAUUUCAAUGGAUUUUCUCAUUCAAGCUACAUAUAUAGAUUUCACUUCUGCAUCUUCUUCAUCUGCGUCGUCCUUUUCUUCAAUCUAUUUCGGAUUUUCUUUGUUCAUCCAUCUCGAAAUCUGAAUCAGUUGGAAGAUGGGGAUAGGGUUGAGCAUCUUCGACUUCAAGCGAAUAUGGAACUACCCACAAACCGAAUAUGGAAUUAAACCUUCAGAGGUAUAUUAGAGUAUUGGACAACUAUUCUAGGUCAUCCCACCAGGGAGCAGAUACAAACUUUUUGAAUUUACAUUGUCAUGGAAACGUCUAAGAUGGCUUGAGUUAUGAAGGGUUUAAUCUGGUGCAGAAGAGAUCGACCAGCUCAGCUCAUGCUGUAGUUGGAGGCCGGAGGUUACGAUGGGUUUAACCUGGUGCAGAGGAUCCGGGAGGGAUUCGCUUGAUUUAAAAAGAAGAAAUAUGAGUACCAGGAGAAACAACUAUUGAAUUUGCUGAGAGGAACAAACAUAAAUUACAUAAAGAUGUAUCUAAAAUAGUUUAGGGUGACAAUAUGCGACAACGGAAGGCAGUUGGAGGCUACUUUUUCUUCCGAUGACUCGACGAGUGACGUAAUUGGUGCCGAAUCCACAGGAAAAGAAGGCCAAAACAAUCGCGGAUUUAAGAUAAGAUGAGUAUAAUUACAUGGUUGCUGUAGAGACAAUAUCAAUUGAAAAAAGCUGGUUACAUUGAAGUCUGGUGCAGAAUGGAAAGGGAGGCUAGAACUUUCAACUUGACGCUUAUAAUUGAGAAACAUAGGCUGAUCGAUAUUAUGAACUAUAUCGAUAUUAUGAACUAUAUCUGAGUCAAUGUGAAUGCCCUCUUGGUUGAGGAAUUAAGUGUUCCCGAGCACCUUCGCUUCAAAAAACUGGUUGAUGGAAUGGAAGUACCAACAGAAUUAGAUUUUCAUUUAAUUACUUCUCACGUCAGUGUACUCGGUUGGAUGUUUAUGAGGAAAAUUAGGGCAUGGGACCAAAACCGAUGGAAAAAACCAAGAUUGAUAGAACAGUUGUAGGCAUUGAACUUGCAGCCCAUGGUGAUUGCAGGUGGUGCAUGGCAUGAAGGUGUGAUUGGAACUGAUAGCAGGGUGGUAGCAUAUUUAGAUUCAGUUCUCCAUUAGCUACAUUAACCACCAACGGGUCUCAGGAAAAUACACAUGCUGCAUCUACUGUAGUUACACAGGCGGUCCCAUUCAAGUUUGCAGCAUCAAUACUUUAAUAAGUCACCAGCGGAGGUAACGGUUCUGAGCUCCUGAAAUGAAUCGAUUCCAUCAGUCUAUUUCAUCUUCGUCUAUUCUAUUCUGAUGACCUCCUGCAGCAAUGACCGACGAACUAGACAGCCGCAUCAGGCGGCGGCUUUUUUUAACACGUGGGUCUUCCGGCUUUUAAGGGUGGUACCAAAGUGAUUUAAGGGUUGUUGCGCAUGUGAGAAUCGUUCUUUGAAGACGCUGAAAUCGGUGGAGAGACAACUGAUUGCAAAUGACAAGUUUGGUACCACCAUUUCGAUGUAAGGUAUGAUUUCGAACAUUUGUUACUAAACACUACAAGCGUAAAUGUUGUUCCUGUGAUUGAACCCUAACAGGUUCUAAAAUCCAAUUAUUUUUUCAAGAUUUUAAUCUCAUCAAAUGUGGUUAAUUAUAAUCAGCUGAAUUUCGAUUCAGGAUACAUCUCAUCAAUUAUGUUUAACUAGAUUCCUUUUUGGGUUGGAGAAUAAAUAGUAAGGUGUUAAGCAUCUAGAUUUAAAUUACGGGGUAGAGGUAAGGUUGUCUAUAUCUCACCCUCCUCAGACGCUACCUAGCUUUGCUAUAUGUGGGAUUUACUGAGUAUGAUGAUGAUGAUGAUGUAUAGUUAAUAACUAAUGGGUAAAAUUUGUAGUUGUGAAAUAGAUACUUUGAUGGCGAUUGUUUAUACUUACUUCUCUGUAGUCAAACUGCCUUAAUUCCUAGGCGCCCAAGUUCGGCUCUGCUCAACACCUUAGCCAAACCGCCUUGAGUGCAUCUACGCGAACAGGAGCAGUGAACUAGCUUGAACUGGAAAACACCGCUCUGAGCCCAUUUGUAAUAGCUCAAAAUGAUCUGAACCAACCUAAAUUAGCCUAAAACAAGUCUAUAAUAGCCUAAAUUAGCCUAUAAAUGGACUGGAUAACACGUGCUUUUUGCUUGCUUCGGGCCUUGCUUUUUAAGCGCCUAGGUGACUUGAUUACCCUAUGUGUCUUCAGUGCGGCUUAAGCUUUUGACUACCUAGAUUUACUUAGCAUAAGUCUCUACACAUAUAAAUGAAAAAGUUGCUAAUUAUUUAUUUUGCGGGCAUCAUUUAUGCCACUGAGCGGAAACCAAGAUAUGAUCAUGGUUUCCGUUGCCGUUUUCAAUCUUUGAAUUUUGUUUUUUUUUUACAUUAUACACCAAUUUUUCCGGACAUUAUCCUCAUGGACGACCUCCCGUGUCGAGGAACCGUGCUUCAACGGGUCUGGGUGUUUGGUUUUUUCGACUCUAUAUGAGUCCCUCCUAUCCUUACAAAGAUUAUUCAACAAACACACAUUUAUUUCGUGUAACAGUUCAAAAUUUUAUGUUAAUUGUUCCCUAAAUGUCUUUGUCAAAUGCUAGGUGUAUAAAGACAUAAAUGUGGUAACUUGGCUGGUUAAACGAGCCGAAAUGGAUGGUUGUAAGGCGAUUGUCCUCACUGUAGAUACCCGAGACUUGGCUGAAGGGAAUCUAAUAUCAAUACCAUGUAUAUUAUUAAAGCUUUUAUUAGCCAAUUAUCAUAUCAAAACCAUAACAUACAAGCAUUUAAAUAGGGUCGGCAGAAAAACUAAAAUAGUUGAACGAUUACUGGUUAUGCUUUGAAUAUAAAUAACUGAAUUAGCCAAACGGAAAUCACUCAUACACUACAAAGUUUGAUAUAAUUUCAGUUUUUCUUACGGUUGAAUUCACUUGGCAUGACUUUGAUGAAGAAAGAUUGGUGGUGAUUGGAAUUUUGUUAAGUGGUUAGCUUCAGUUAUUUGUUAACUUAGUUUAACUAUUCGUCUCUUGCAGCAUGAUAUCUGUUGCUGAUCUUAAUGACAAAUGGGCAGCGAAUACAGGCCCUGGGUGGAAGGAAUAGUAGGUAAAAGAAUGUUCAUCCAUCCUCAAAUAAUAAAUGAGUCAGUUUCAGAUUUUUCACUGUGAUUCCACAUCAGGUUUGUCUAUCAUAAUUCUUAUAUAGUGGUCACUACUUUUUAGAGGUAGCCAAAUUAGCGCGUUAGAUAAUGGGUCGAAAUGGGUAAUUUUAGUACCAGUACAACCCGGUGCGUCUGGUUUGUCCCACAAGUUCAGUUUUAUAAUUGGUAAUGCGUUAGUUAUGAUUGCCACAAUAAUAAUAAUCCAAGUAUCCGAAUGUAAACAAUUUAUAAGUUAUAUUAAUAUACUUUUACUACCAUGAAGAGGAAAAAAAAUGUUUGAUGAGUUAAUUUACUUAAUUCGCAAUACAUAUAUUCUAUUAGCUGUAGCAAUUCAUAAACUACGACAUUAUUUUUACCAAUAAAAUGUGAGUUCGCCAUUUGUUUUAUUUUUAAGAUGUAUAUAGAAAAACGUACAAGUGGACUCACCACUUCACCAGCGAUACUAAGCCUUACAUCCACGGUCAAUUAAUACAUUUUUAUUAAUGGAUUUGUAUAAUCUUUUUUAAUAUGUGAGGGAUGAGUAAAGAUUCGGAAAAGUUCGCGGGAGAGUUGUUUGAUUCACUUUCCCACGUCAGAAUAUCACUGGCGACGUGAUAAACAAAGCAUAAUUAAAGAAGUUUUUAUGCUAUGGAGCGAGUACAUAGUUACAUUGUACUCGUGACUAUGAUAUAACAUUGAUUGUAAUUUUUGUAAACUUUAUGUUAAAAAUCAAUGUAACUAUGUACUUUUUUUUGCUUUGUUAACCGUUAGGUAUCUUGUUUUAAAACAUAAGCGGUUUGUAUGAAAAGACUAAAAUAGGUUCAUUGCGUUGUAAUUUGCAAGGCCCUGGCCGCAUCGUGACAGGCUUUACAUCUAGGUAUUUUUAUUUUAGUUAUUUUUGGUAAAAAGUUAAUAAGAAAAUAUAAGUAAAUUAAUCUUUGGUAAUUUUUAAAAAAUAUAUAAAAGAGACAACAAAAAGGUUAAGGGGGAAGGGCCACUUGCACUUCCUAUUCUAACGUCCUCUAAUUUUUACCCGUCAUAUCACUCAAUUCAUCCAUUGUCCUAAACUAACUAAUUUGGUGGCAUCAUUAUCCUAAAACAUGAACAUCCACCAUUUUACAUCUCUCUCUCUCUUCCAUCAUUUUAUAUUUAGUUGCACGUUAUAAACUUCACAAAAUUUAGAGUUAUCAGGCAACAUACUUUCAUAUAUAAUGGCUUAGACUACUUCUUCAACUUCGGCCCAGAUUUUUAGGUUUCGAGUAAUCAGAAGUUGCCAUCAGUGUAUCUUCUCGACAAUAUUGUGAAGACAUUGGGCGGGAUUGCAUUAAACACUUUUCGACCAAACUCCUCGAGGUUGAUUCUACACAUCAUUUCGGGACUUGGAAAGGAGUGUUUCCUCCUCAAACGCUUCAAUCACAAGAGAAAGAACUUGGUUUACAAUCAGUCGGGAAGUCGGGAACAUGUCAACGUUAACUUCAAUCAAAAGCUUCAUUUUAAUUUAAUAUUUACUUAAGUAAUUGGGUGUUUCUUUCGUUUAAAAGUUUAUGUCAAUACUGUUAAAUAAUAUAAUUUACUUUGAUAUCAUCCGUGUAACACACGGGUUCUUUGACGUAGAAUUGGGAUAACACACUUAUUUUGAUAUUUAAAACUCAUCUUAAAGAUUAUGUAGUUUGAUAUUUAGUAUAAUGUUUUUUUUAAGAUAGUGAUGGUACCAAAUUAGAGACUGGCAUAUGUGUAGGCUACUGGUACCUGCGUUGAAUAUGAGGUUGAACUAGGGAUGAGCAAAUGGUAUUGGGUGCCAGUUCAGAACCGGUACCAAAUUUCUUGAACGACUUGAUUUCCGGUACCGAAUCGGUAUCGAUAUUUAGCGUUUUCGGUACUGGUUUGGUGUGGUACUGGUAUUUGCCGGUUUUUACCUUCAAAUACCGGUGCGUUCCGGUACCGAACCAUAGCGUACCGGAUAUUUUCGAUACUGGUACCCAUUUUUUGGAAUUUUCAGUACUGGUUGGGUGACUUAUGCUAGAAACCUAUGAGAAUAAAAUUAUUUAAACAAAUUGCACUCCCGUACGAAAAAAAUGGGUGCUUUGCGCCACUGUUUUAGACCCUAUCUCCUCGGUGCGCCUCACGCUUUUUAAAUCUAAGGAUGUCAAUUAGCAAUGAUUGCAAGGUUGAAUUUUGAUUUCAUUACUAAGCUGCACAUGUAAUGCUUGAUGCUAGAACAUGAAUUUUCUAUUGUAUAGACAUUUGUUUUAUAUUUUUGUUUCCUUUUGAUGGUUUAUUGUUUUAUAAUUGUGAAAAUAGGAAGAAAAGGCAAGAGUUGUUAUCAUUUACUGAAUUGACUGACGAUAUGGUGUUAACUGUUGAAGAAAAUGUCAAAAGAGAUCUUAAAAGCUCAACGAAUUCGGAUUGUGAAAGUCCCAUUGAGAAGUCAUCAAUUUGAGCAUGAGUGGCGAUUAAGCUUUUCUUAGACUAUUCUUAGAGGCCACCUGCAUAAUGGUCUCACACAAGGUACUUUUUUUUUUAAAAUGAUGAAUGAUGCUGACUCUAUGCCAGCGGAUGUUGGUACGGAACUGACAAAGGACUAAGAACUUUAAAAAGCCCAUGAUAUACACAGUGGCGAAGCUUGACCAAAAGUUUCGAGGGGGCGUAAAGUGAUGGGACCUAAAUUUUUUUCCUAUCGUUAUGUUUCGGGUCGGGUCGGCUGUUCGAUUCAGGUCAGGCCAAAUAAUAAUAGGUCGGAUAAAAAAUCGGACCAUAUACACUUCUAACCGAAACAUUGGGGUGGGCGGGUGCACACUCGGGCAUCCAUUAUACUUCACCCCUAGAUAUACAUGACUACAUGUUUACAGAAAGGAAGAUAGAUACUAAAUAUUUCAGAUUGGCGUAGAGUUGGGAUUAUAUGAAACAUCUAAAGAAAUAUCAGUUGUUUCUUAGACUCACUCGAUACUACAUUUGGUUGAGAAAAUAUAUUAUAUAAAACGGUGUGUGAUUUUUCAUAUUUAUUUGUUAAUGAGAAGCUACUUUGUGUUAAAGGGUAGGGGAUGUUAAAAUAUGUUAAUAACCGUAACUUGGGAACCAGUUGUGAGUAUAGUAACAUCUACAUUUAUGUGUAAUUUAUUAAUUUCAUAGAUCUAUAAGAAAUUUAUUUUCCUUAUUAAUUUACAAUCUGUAAUUGGGACCGAUAUAGCAACCCGUCUUCUUUCAUGGUCAAUUGUACGUUACUUUAUCAUAGAUAAAAACACGAGAUGGAGUCAAACUACAAAUACUUGACAACGACGGAAAACCUACAGAUAAAACAACUAAUGUGGUUUUUAAGGAGAUUUUCAACGAAUUGUGAUCGUUGCAUAUUCAUGUAUUUCAAUUUGUCGUGGUAAUCUUAGAAAUUCGUUUGUGUUUUAACGUGUAUUUAAUCAUAACAUUUAUGUAAACGAUGAUGAUGAUAAGAUAUUAUCUUUUAGCAAA